GCCCUUGUAGCUCAGUUGGUAGAGCAGAUGACUCUUAAUCAUCGGGUCCAAGGUUCGAGUCCUUGCGGGGGCAC
rnacentral:tRNA from 1 species